CACAAAAGCAUUGGACUGCAGAGAUGUACUCUUUAUUUACUUGCUCGCUUCCAGUACAGCAUCUGUCACACUAUCCCCUUACACUGCUCUCUGGAUUUCCCAGGUUUCCGUAGGCUUCUAGGAGGACAGAGAAAUCUAUGAAGAACUGCUUUGUACCCCUUACCUUGCUCAGUGGAUAAACGUUUAGAAACAUUUCCCACAGCUCAUGAGGGAUGAAUAUUCACAACUCAUGUUCUAUUGCCCUUGCCUAUCUUGUUUUUAAAUAGAAAGUCUGAGUCCUCGGUAAUUAUAUUAAGCUUCUUAAGCAGCAUAUAUCAAUUGCAUACACCAUUUUAAGCAUUUUUUUCGGCCUUUUGAAAGAGAGAGUAGGGGAAGAGACAGAGAGAAAUCACUUAGCAGCUGAUUCACUUAUUUUAAGCAGCUUUCCCCAUUUUAAAAUAUAAAAAAUUCAGGUCCUGGAACAUUGGGUUAUUUGAAUGUUCUGUAAGGAUUUGAAAAGAGAUUUUUUUAAAAUCAUAUGUUCCACAUUCAGGGACCCAGAUUUUCAAUUUAGUCCUUUAAAAAAAAAAAAAAAAGUUAAAAUAAGGGAUAUGAAAAGCAUUUAAGUUGGUCUCACUUAUGGCAGAGCUUAACUCAAUAAUCCAAGACUUGGAACUUGGUAUUUCAAUAAAGAAAACACUGUUUGAGGUAUUUUCCAUUCAAACCAGCAUCAAAAGUUUUUUAAUUAACACCAUCAGAAAUUAAUGGGCUAAAUGCAGGACAGGGUUCCUACAUACCCCACCACUGGGAACAAGACAGCAAGAGGAACCCAUUGAGCACGUUUGUAUUUUGUCCUGUGUUUUUAUUUACUCCUUGAACUGAGUCCCAGCUGCACAUUCCGGGGGCAGAGCAGCAGAGUGAAACCUGUGAGGGCCGCUCCACCCUAGCACUUUCACUUUGCUCACUGAUUAUUGUCCAGAGUUCUUUGUGAUUGUAAUUGGUUAGAAAGUUUGAAAUUAGCAAGUCCUUGUCAGCCCAGGAAAGCUUUGAAAUCACAAGGUUUGAUACAGCCAUCAAGCCUGUGGAAACCUAAUGGCUUAUUGGGUUGAGAGCCUCAGAGGCCUGAGCAGAGCACUCUCGCCCUAAGGCUUGGCCCCAGUCACCAUCCACCACCCUCCAGAGCUCCCUGUCUUAGAGGAUGGCUUUGUUUGAGGCCCUUUCUUUUCCAUCACUGAAGCCUCUUUCAGGACGAACAGACUGGACUGACUACUAGGCUUGGGAAGAAUGAGAGCAAAUGGAGUGGUGAAGAAGAGGAUCAAGAAAAAGGGAGGAAGGAGAAGGGGAAGAAAAAGCAUAAAGGGAAAAGGAAGUGGCAUAUUAAAUGGAAAGAGCUUUGUAAAUAUUGACAUUUAGUUUCUGUGCAACUGGAUUGGAUGUCUCAGAAUGGAACUCACUGACGGAACCUAAAUGGUCCCUGGGGCUCUUUUCUUCCCUAGAACUUUUUAUUUAUUUAUUUAUUUUGUCAUUUUAGGGCCGCACUGGCAGCAUGUGGAGGGUCCCAGGCUAGGGGUCUAAUCGGAGCUAUAGCUGCCAGCUUAUGGCAGAACCACAGCAAUGCUGGAUCUGAGCCUCGUCUGUGACCUACACCCACAGCUCACAGCAAUGCCCGAUCCUUAACCCGCUGAGCGAGGCCAGGGAUCGAACCUGCAACCUCAUGGAUCCUAAUCAGAUUCAUUUUUGCUGCACCACCAUGGGAACUCCCCUAGAACUUUUUAAAGACUUGCCCACUCGUGGUCAAAGGGAAGCUACAUAUGUUCAUAUAAGGGAUCAUAAUGUACCCACGCUACCACCACCACCACAACCACAUUUUCUAGGGAUUAGGAAUACAGUCAUUUCCUUUAUACAUUAUAAUAGAAGGAUGAAGGGUCUAUAAAUUCUUCUCCUGUAACCAUAAAAAUAUCUUACUGUUUAACCUUGUGAUCUAGGUCCUUGAACCAAAAUUCUCCAGAAAACUCCUAUGCUGCAUGGUAAAUUGCAAAAUAAACUCACCUUCAGCUUUACAGUAACAAAGGAACUACUUGGACAGGGUUAAUGAAAGUAGAUAUUGUCAGCAAGGAUGAAAUGUUUAUAGAAGCUUAAAGGUCUUAAUAACGUUCUAUAAAUCUUCUCAUUUAGUUGAAAGACUUCAAGCUUAAUACAUUUAGAUGCAAUCCUUAACCUUUUCCUAUUUCUCCUCUACUUUAAUACAAAACAAAACAAAAUACAAACCAACUACGAUGGCACAGAUAGUAUUGCCAUGAAUUCAGAAUGUCAGGAAAUUUUCAGUAGGCCCAGUCAUGACAAAAAUCAGGAAAUUUUCAAUAGGCCCAGUCAUGACAAAAUGUUUCACCAUUUUUUGAAAAGCUCCCUAAAGGAGUUCAGAGAUUUCUCUCCUGAAACACAGGGAGAUCGAUAUAUAUGAACUCCUAGAGAAUAAUUGUUGAAUGAGUGUCAGCAUUUUCCUAAGAACUCCUAAGAGUCCAAUCUUGACAUCAUAGCCAGAGAAUCAGGUAAGCCAACUAGCAAUUUACCAUUUUUCUACUGUUUCUUAGCUGAACAGUGUCAGGGUUGUCAUCCCAAAGUUUGGCUUCUUGCAGGAGUCAGAGACAUUUUACGUGGAAUAUAAUUGAUUAAACCUUGUCCCAAACCAUCCUUUUGAUCAGCUUAUGCUAGAUCAGACUGCACGUACUGUGCCACACCCCCAGAAAUCUCUAUGGGCUGCUCUAGCAGGUGUGUUGAGCCCUCUCUAGUUAUCCCGCAGCUCACCUCUAGUUUCGGCCACUCUGAAGCAGUUCUCUGUUAGUCCAGACUCCUGCCUCAAUGGUCUUUUCCACAGUUUGCCCCAGGGCCUUUUCAAGUGCUGGGAGAGUUCAGUAAGUCUACAGUGGAAUGGGGAGCUAGAUUAGCAGCUUAAUUCCCUGUGGUGGCAGCUCUCAACCAAAGGAGGAACAGAUCU
rnacentral:lncRNA from 1 species